rnacentral:rRNA from 1 species
AUUGAACGCUGGCGGCAUGCUUUACACAUGCAAGUCGAACGGCAGCGCGGGCUUCGGCCUGGCGGCGAGUGGCGAACGGGUGAGUAAUACAUCGGAACGUGCCCAGUAGUGGGGGAUAGCUCGGCGAAAGCCGGAUUAAUACCGCAUAAGACCUGAGGGUGAAAGCGGGGGAUCUUCGGACCUCGCGCUAUUGGAGCGGCCGAUGGCCGAUUAGCUAGUUGGUGGGGUAAAGGCCUACCAAGGCGACGAUCUGUAGCUGGUCUGAGAGGACGACCAGCCACACUGGGACUGAGACACGGCCCAGACUCCUACGGGAGGCAGCAGUGGGGAAUUUUGGACAAUGGGCGAAAGCCUGAUCCAGCAAUGCCGCGUGUGUGAUGAAGGCCUUCGGGUUGUAAAGCACUUUUGGCGGGAACGAAAAGGACUGUGCCAAUACCACGGUUCGAUGACGGUACCCGCAGAAUAAGCACCGGCUAACUACGUG